rnacentral:rRNA from 1 species
CAGCCGUAAACUAUGCGCGUUAGGUGUAUCGGUGACCACGAGUCACCGAGGUGCCGAAGGGAAACCGUGAAACGUGCCGCCUGGGAAGUACGGUCGCAAGGCUGAAACUUAAAGGAAUUGGCGGGGGAGCACAACAACGGGUGGAGCCUGCGGUUUAAUUGGACUCAACGCCGGACAACUCACCGGGAACGACAGCAAUAUGUAGGCCAGGCUGAAGACCUUGCCUGAAUUGCUGAGAGGAGGUGCAUGGCGUAGACGUCU